rnacentral:rRNA from 1 species
CUUAGCGGCGGACGGGUGAGUAACGCGUGGGCAACCUGCCUCAUACGGGGGAUAACAGUUAGAAAUGACUGCUAAUACCGCAUAAGCGCACGAGGGCCGCAUGGCCCGGUGUGAAAAACUCCGGUGGUAUGGGAUGGACCUGCGUCUGAUUAGCUUGUUGGCGGGGUAACGGCCCACCAAGGCGACGAUCAGUAGCCGACCUGAGAGGGUGGCCGGCCACAUUGGGACUGAGACACGGCCCAAACUCCUACGGGAGGCAGCAG